rnacentral:rRNA from 1 species
GGGGAAUUUUCCGCAAUGGGCGAAAGCCUGAUGGAGCAACGCCGCGUGAGUGAAGAAGGUCUUAGGAUUGUAAAGCUCUGUCCUUAGGGAAGAACCGUGGGUAUAACAAAUGAUACCCACCUGACGGUACCUUUGGAGGAAGCACUGGCUAACUACGUGCCAGCAGCCGCGGUAAUACGUAGAGUGCAAGCGUUGUCCGGAAUUAUUGGGCGUAAAGGGUACGCAGGCGGAUAAUCAAGUCAAGCGUGAAAGGUGUCGGCUUAACCGACAGACUGCGUUUGAAACUGGUUAUCUUGAGUGUAACAGAGGAGAGUGGAAUUCCUAGUGUAGUGGUGAAAUACGUAGAUAUUAGGAAGAACACCAGUGGCGAAGGCGACUCUCUGGGUUAACACUGACGCUGAGGUACGAAAGCUGGGGGAGCGAAAGGGAUUAGAUACCCCUGUAGUC